UACGUAGGGGGCUAGCGUUGUCCGGAAUCAUUGGGCGUAAAGCGCGUGUAGGCGGUCCGGUAAGUCCGCUGUGAAAGUCGAGGGCUCAACCCUCGAAUGCCGGUGGAUACUGUCGGGCUUGAGUACGGGAGAGGCGAGUGGAAUUCCUGGUGUAGCGGUGAAAUGCGUAGAUAUCGGAAGGAACACCUGUGGCGAAAGCGGCUCACUGGACCAUAACUGACGCUGAGGCGCGAAAGCGUGGGGAGCGAACAGG
rnacentral:rRNA from 1 species